AAAUACGGAUAUAUGAUAAUUGAUCAGGAUGAGCGGGACCAAGACGUUGUGCUAAGGAGAAGGUUAUUAACAGGAGGUUGCAAAGAUAUGCUCUUGAGGCGUGUGUGGGACAACACGAGAAUGAAAGGUAUGGAGACAGAGAUUAAGAAACUUUACCAGAUGAUUGAAUCGGCGGCGGAAGAACAUAGAGCUGAGAGGGCCAGAACCUCUGAGGCUAUGAAUCUCAAAUUUGACACGCUUCAGUCCUCUAUUAUGCAACUGUUUCAUAAUCCGCACCGCUUCAACUCUCCUUCUCGUGAGUUCUCAUAUGGUGCAAGCUCAACUGGGGAUCCACCAUUUCGUGCGGGAUUGCAACUCUAAAGGGUGAACGUCAAUCUGUUGAAAUUUGAUGGGAGUGAUGCCUUGGGUUGGAUUUUCUCCAUGGAUCAAUAUUUCGAUUUCUUCCGGGCUCCCGAUGAAGAACAGGUGGGUUUAGCAGCGGUUCAAAUGUCGGGAGAGGCCAUUCCAUGGUAUCAAUUAUCACAGCGAACGGCACAGUUUUGUUCCUAGACUCAACUCAAGAGGGCGAUUGAGCUCGAGUUUGGACAUUCAUUAUUCGAGUCUCUCAGGAAAUUGCUCUUCAAGCUUCAACAACAUAGAACAGUGAGUGAGUAUUAUUCUGAAUUUGUUGCUUUAGCUAAUUGUACUCAGAUUGAACCGCUUGAUGCCUUUAGAGAUUGUUUUAUAAGCGGAUUAAAGCAGGCUAUUCGAAGGAAAGUGAAAGCUCAGUGUCCCCCCGAGUUUGAUGCGUGUUGUGACUUUGGCAAGAUUGUAUGAGGAUAAAUUUACCCCCGAAUCUCGUCACACUUCAUGUCAUUACAACUUGAAUUGGGGGAUGAGAUGGUGCCAGGAGAGCCAACGGUUGUGUCUAUGGUGCCAGGAGAUGGAUCCUCUCCAUUUUUUCUAACACUUGAGAGAAUAAAGUGUGAUCUCUCACCUUUAAUUCUAUAAGUGGGACCAAAAUUAAAUAGGAAAGAGAGAACAAUGAAAGGUGAGAUCCUCCAUUGGACACCAUCCAGUUUUUUUUCCACUGGAGAGGAUCCACUCCCGCAAACUUGUAAGGGUUAGAUCAACAUAUCAUUGAGCAUCAUUUAUCCUAUAACGUGAUGCAUGGUACUGAAAGGCCCUUAGUUCUGUACCAUUUAUUUUAUUUUUUAAUUAAAAGUAUUAAUAAAAAUAAUUGUCUUUUGGAAAGUGAACAAAUUAUUUCUCAGUAAAUUAAGGUUAAAUUAUGACAAAAUUUGUGAAUAUAUUUGUAAAUUUUUCAGUAAAUCAAAUUUGUUAUAUGAUAAAUGAUAUUGAUAAAGUGUCGCAUAUCAUCGUCUAAUUGAUAAAAAAAAUCAAUUUGACUUAAGAUUAUAUUUUUCAAAAACUAAUUUAAAGUGCACACCUAAUUUUUAAGGAGCAUUUUACUAUUAACCCAAAAAUAUCAUUGCGUUUUUCUGCUCAAGUAGAUAAUAAUCCAUUUGGUUAAUGAAGAAACAAGAAAGUGAUUUCAGUGUAGUAGUAGCUUACCUUUUAAGUUAAGUGAUUAAGUGAGAUAACUGACCCUCGAUUUUAAAGUUUAUUUGCUUAGCUUGUUAACAUAACAGAUUUGCUUUUGAUUACAUAGUACUAGAAAGCUGCAUGGAGUUGAGAGAGCUAAAUUUGGAAUAUUGAGAUUUUGUAAUUGAUAAUUUUGUUGCUUCCUUAGAGCUUAUAAGGCCAUCAUUGAGUAUAAUAAUCAGAAACUCUUAUGUUGAUGUUUGAGAUUGAAUAAUGCUUGGUGUAUAACACUUCAUUGUAGAGCAAGGUGAGUAAAAAUUAUGCAGAUGUCUCAUUAAUAGUAACUGGUUUGAAUUAUGUUUAUGAGUUUAAUUUAGCAUUGUUUCAUAUAUAUGAGUAUAAUUUUGCAGUACACUUCAUAUAUAUGCAUGCCAAAUUAGUUAUUUUAUUCCGUUUUUGGAAUUAGUAGCCGCACUUGAAAAUAUUUAGCACUGUAAAUUUUUUGAGCGUAUUUAGAUAUAAUUUAUGGUUAAUACAUUGAAUCUUUUAAAUAACGCACUUUUUUUUGACAGGUCAAAAUAACAUACUUUAGAACGAAAGAAGUGUAGUAAUUUUAUUAGGAUAACAUAGAUGCUAUUGAUCUGAGUUAUAUUAUGUUGUUCCACAAUACUUGAAUAGACAAGAAUUUGUAGGUUCUUGUGUCAUGAAUUUUAGACAUAUAAUUUUUGUAUAAAAGAAUUAACAUCAUUGGAAGAAAAAUAGAAGAAGAUAGAAGAAAGAAGAUAUCUUCCUUAGCUUAUAAAUAGAAAAGAGAAACAAAACAAAAGAACAAGACCAAUAAAUGAAGGGAAUUAAUGUUUUAAGGUUUUCUUUCUAAACAAGUGUUCUUGGAGAGUUGGUAAUAUUGCUACUAAUGAAAAUGAUUAAAUUUCUUUUAAUAAAUACAUUAUAAAUAUACUAAAAGAUUUUAACUAUAUAGUUUUUUUUAUUAUUUUAUCUAAUCCUUUAAAAUACUUGUUGGCAAGGCUCAAACUCUUUAUACUGUGUUACUUGAGGCCCUAAAGCUAAAUAUUACAACUUACAACCCUAUAGUGCAGGCAAGGUGUGAUCUGAACUGGUGUUGGGGAUCUAAUGCCUCAAAGGCUUUCUCAACAAGGAAUGGUUAUGAAUGGCUCCUUGAAAGAAAGUUUGCAUGGGAUAUAAAUGAGAAUCGGUUGUGUUUGUGGCGUUUGAGAAUACCUGAAAAAGGUCAAGAGGUUGAUUUGGCUCAUCCUGCAUGGGGCCAUUUCCACUGCCAGCUUUUGUUACCAAAGACGUUUAACAGCAUUUACAGCAACAGAUCUUUGCCCCAUAAUGAAGCACCAGAAACAGAAACUGCAAAACACUGCCUUAGACUUUGUAAUAAAGUGAAGCCGAUUUGGGAGAGCUUGAAGGUGGGAAUACGAACUUGGGAUGUCUCCUUAGAUUUUUAAAGCUGGCUUCGUAUAAAACUUCGGACUAGUGAAGAAAUUUUUGCAGUAGACUUUUGGUGGUUUUGGAGGGAUAGGAACAAUCAUAUUUUUAAUCCAAAUGACAUUUGGAGUAAGGAGAAAGUUCUCAAACUUAUCAGGCACUCUUGUAGCUGAGUAUGCUGCUAUUAAACGUUCUACUCAGGUGACAUAUCAUCCCUCUUUGUGUGAUUCUUGGUGCCCUCUUCCAAUCAAUGUUGUUAAAUUAAAUUGUAAUGCUAGUCUUUUUUAACAAGACCAACUUGUUAGUUUUGGGUCUGCUAUACAAGACAGUACGGGUAAAUAGUUAAUUGGGUUGUUCAGCAAACAUUCCGAUAGAAACUAUUAUUUGUUUCUAUCAUUUGGUGUAACUAUUCGCAAUUUGGAGUGGUCUUUGUUUGGCUUGAAAAAGUGGCCAGAGGUGAUUUGAAAAA